rnacentral:rRNA from 1 species
UACGUAGGGGGCAAGCGUUGUCCGGAUUUAUUGGGCGUAAAGCGCGUGUAGGCGGCCAGAAAAGUCCGCUGUGAAAACUCGAGGCUCAACUUCGAGCUGUCGGUGGAAACUUUCUGGCUAGAGUCCGGAAGAGGAGAAUGGAAUUCCUGGUGUAGCGGUGAAAUGCGCAGAUAUCAGGAAGAACACCCGUGGCGAAGGCAGCUCGCUAAACUGACAUUGACGCUGAGGCACGAAAGCGUGGGGAUCAAACAGG